GAGGGUAUAGCUUAAGUGGCAGAGCACAUGCUUGGCAUGCAUGAGGUCCUGGGUUCAAUCCCCAGUACCUCCU
rnacentral:tRNA from 1 species